GACAGUUGGGUCUUUACGCACGAAUUAUCGAGCUGAUCAACUUGAUUAGAUUAAAUAUCGAUUAGCUUAAAUAUUGACGAGAUAAGGUUGGAGUUUAUUGGAAAUUUACGUCUUCUUAAGAAAUAAUCAGGAUAUGAAAAUAAAAAAUCCAAUUGCUCGGCAUGGUUGAUCGAUGCAACAGACCUAACCUACGUCAUCGCAAUUCGAAGCGGUUUAUUCAGUGCAAAUUAUAGAGAGGAACGUAUUUGUAAAAACAAAAAUAUCGGAAAUACAAUUUCGUUUGAAACAUGUUACAACGCCGAGUAAACUUCACUUGUGAAUUUUCUACUAGCAGCUUUGUUAGAAAUAUGCAGAAUUACCAGCGACAAGGGCACAUCCUCAACCCGCAAAUUCGAAAAAUUAUGAAACUUUGGGAAUACGUUGAGGUUAUGUGGUUUCGGAUGGAAGAUAGAGAAGAGACGCAUAGCCUCUAUUCAAUUACCUAUGGCUGUCUGUUCGCGUGGUUAUUAAAACGGAUAAAUCUUGUUUGUCGUUGCUUCUUCACCAGAUUGAAAUUUUCCACGCCGAAACAUCGAAUUAAAUCUCUCUCGCAUGGAUCCACACGGUUGUUCGCGUGCGUUCGUCCAAUAAAUUAGAAACAAUUGGGCGGAUUAGAAUUUCGGUUGGUUCACGCGACCCUGCCACGUCAUCGAGCUAGUUGAUCCUACAGAUAAGCACAAGUAAAUAAUGCGCUAUUACUUUCACGCCUAACCUUUCACGCUUAAACAGAUUGGCCCAUAAACGAUAGGAAAUUGUUCUCAAUUUUGCCACACGUUCCGAAUUAAAAGUAUUUUCGUUUUAUACAGUGGCUGAUGAAGUAAUUGCAACGCACAGCGCAGAAAAUUGCUACGAACGUAUUACGUGCACUACGCCUGACUUUUUUCAUAUUUUGCAGCAUCGAGACACGAGUAUCGCGGUUGUAACAGUAAAAUUUGUAACUAGUCUGAAAAUGUGUAUAAAAGCUGCAAGAUGUUUGUUGCAAACGUACGUUAAGCGAAAAAUUACUAUACAGCAUGAAUAAUAGUAUUGGUUUAGCGACUAAGUUUUUUU